rnacentral:rRNA from 1 species
CGGUGUUUAACUGGCGUGAUGUGGGACGUCCUACCGGUGGGCUUAGCCUCGCGAGGGGCGGCCCAACUAAUAUCCCGUCGCGGUGCUCUUUACUGAGUGUCGAGUCGGGCCGGUACGUUUACUUUGAACAAAUUAGAGUGCUUAAAGCAGGCUAUCCUCGCCUGAAUACUGCGUGCAUGGAAUAAUGGAAUAGGACCUCGGUUCUAUUUUGUUGGUUUUCGGAACCCCGAGGUAAUGAUUAAUAGGGACAGAUGGGGGCAUUCGUAUUGCGACGUUAGAGGUGAAAUUCUUGGAUCGUCGCAAGACGGACAGAAGCGAAAGCAUUUGCCAAAAAUGUUUUCAUUAAUCAAGAACGAAAGUUAGAGGUUCGAAGGCGAUCAGAUACCGCCCUAGUUCUAACCAUAAACGAUGCCAGCUAGCGAUCCGCCGAAGUUCCUCCGAUGACCCGGCGGGCAGCUUCCGGGAAACCAAAGCUUUUGGGUUCCGGGGGAAGUAUGGUUGCAAAGCUGAAACUUAAAGGAAUUGACGGAAGGGCACCACCAGGAGUGGAGCCUGCGGCUUAAUUUGACUCAACACGGGAAACCUCACCAGGCCCAGACACCGGAAGGAUUGACAGAUUGAUAGCUCUUUCUUGAUUCGGUGGGUGGUGGUGCAUGGCCGUUCUUAGUUGGUGGAGCGAUUUGUCUGGUUAAUUCCGAUAACGAACGAGACUCUAGCCUGCUAAAUAGGCGUACCUUAUGGUAUCGCGAAGGCCCCCGGCUUCGGCCGGUGGGUUUUUACUACCAACGUACAAACAAAUCUUCUUAGAGGGACAGGCGG